rnacentral:rRNA from 1 species
AUGGCGUCGUCGGAGGUGGUGGAGGACGAGGCGUCGGCGGCGGCGAUGCUCGCCAACGGGGCCGCGGACGUCCGCCGGAGGAGGGACCAGGCCAAGGCGAUGCUGUCGAAGCAGGCCGUCAAGAUCGCCACCAAGGCAGAGGAGCACGAGCGGUUCAUCUUCAAGGUCACACACCUGAUGGGUGUUCUUGGAUUUGGGACAUUUUGCUACCUCUUGGGUGCCAGACCACAGGAUGUGCCGUAUGUGUACUGCCUGUUCUAUGUCAUAUUUGUUCCUCUCAGGUGGAUUUACUACCGCUACAAGAAGUGGCACUACUAUCUUCUGGAUUUCUGCUACUAUGCCAACACUUUUCUCCUUGUUAUGAUUCUCUUUUAUCCAAAGGAUGAAAAGCUUUUCAUGGUUUGCUUCUCAUUUGCAGAGGGUCCCCUUGCUUGGGCAUUAAUUGUAUGGCGUUGCAGCUUGGUGUUCAGCUCAUUCGAUAAACUUGUUAGUGUUCUGAUACACCUCUUGCCUGGAAUAGUUUUGUUCACUAUCCGUUGGUGGAACCCACAAACAUUUGCUGCCAUGCAUCCAGAAGGAAGAGCAGCAAGAGUCACAUGGCCAUAUGUGGAGGACAAAUCUUAUCUGUGGACAUGGCUAUUUGUUGUUCCUCUAGCUGCUUACACCUUGUGGCAACUGAUGUAUUUCCUCAUAGUUAAUGUGCUGCGUCGGCAAAGGCUGUUAAGGGAUCCUGAAGUCAUGACAUCAUACAGGGAACUGUCAAAGAAAGCACAGAAAGCAAACAACAUCUGGUGGAGACUGAGCGGAUUGCUUGGUGACAAGAAUCGUCCGUUGAUGUACAUACUGCUUCAGGCAGUGUUCACAGUGGCGACAUUGGCUUUCACUGUACCCAUAUUCCUUUCAUACCGGCUGCAUGGGAUCUUCCAAGUACUAAAGGUGUGUGCCGCAACAUGGAACGGUGGAAGCUUCAUCCUGGAGGUGAUGCCCAGACAAGUCGUUCAGAAGGAGAAGAAGAGACUUGAGAUGAAGCCCAUUGAACAAGCAAACUUGAAGGAGCACAUGGACGAUCGCUCAGGCAACCACCAGCAUACAUCCGAGGAGCAAAGUCAGUGA